rnacentral:rRNA from 1 species
GACGAACGCUGGCGGCGUGCCUAAUACAUGCAAGUCGAACGCACUCUCGUUUAGAUUGAAGGAGUUUGCUCCUGAUUGAUAAACAUUUGAGUGAGUGGCGGAUGGGUGAGUAACACGUGGGUAACCUGCCCUAAAGUGGGGGAUAACAUUUGGAAACAGAUGCUAAUACCGCAUAAAACCUAACACCGCAUGGUGUAGGGUUGAAAGAUGGUUUCGGCUAUCACUUUAGGAUGGACCCGCGGUGCAUUAGUUAGUUGGUGAGGUAAAGGCUCACCAAGACCGUGAUGCAUAGCCGACCUGAGAGGGUAAUCGGCCACACUGGGACUGAGACACGGCCCAGACUCCUACGGGAGGCAGCAGUAGGGAAUCUUCCACAAUGGACGAAAGUCUGAUGGAGCAACGCCGCGUGAGUGAAGAAGGUUUUCGGAUCGUAAAACUCUGUUGUUGGAGAAGAAUGUAUCUGAUAGUAACUGAUCAGGUAGUGACGGUAUCCAACCAGAAAGCCACGGCUAACUACGUG